rnacentral:sRNA from 1 species
UGCAAAAUAAUAAUAUUUUAUUGUUGGCCGUGCUCCAAGCUCGUCGUCAUCGUAAGAGACUGGCUUCACAAAGACAACAAGUUGAUGUGUGUGGAGUCGGAUGAAGUUAGCCCUAUUCGAGUUCAUUUUGCUCAAUGUGUGGGCAUCCAUUAAAACGGGUAUGCCAUUCCGGAAACUGCAAUCAGCAGUCAAUUAUUUUAGAAUUUAUUCAAUUCAUGUUUUGCACAAAGUCCUCAAAGAACUCUCCCGAUUUCGAAGGUGAAUCGAAUGAUGAAUGGAAAUCGAUUCACGAAUUUUGGGGAGAUGGAAAGCGAUGAAAAGCGACCUCCAUUACAUUGGUUAUUAUUAUUGAACUCAUGCACUGCGACCUCCAUUACAUUGGUUAUUAUUAUUGAACUCAUGCACUGCGACCUGUCAGAUCUAUUGUGUCCCCUUCUGAACUUUUGGAUCUUUCAUCAACGCCAGUUCUUCAAUGCAACAAUCUUUGUCGGGUUGAUGGUUUCCAUGUCUUCUGAACUCAGAACAUGCAUCCUCAGUAUACGACAUCUUUUCUUUGUUUACUAAUCCCCAUAUCCACAAAACCGGCAUAGUUCGCUACUGAUACCUAAUUCAGAUAGGCAACUACUUAGUCUACAAUGUCCUGUGAAUAGACCGGUGGGUAUCCUAAGUCUGUUAUUUUCCAUGGCUAUUCCCUGCACAAAUCGUUUACGAUUAUAGCCGUCAAAGAGACUGUUGGUUUGACGUUGUCGCCUCGCUCAUUGCAAAGUGGGCCGAAAAUAGGGGAGAUCUCCAGCAGUGCUUGUCUGAGUUGCCCGUGGAGCAUUGCUCAAUUUAACUAUAAUCGCUGUAGUGAUAGUUUAACUACGUCCAUAAUAAAAACUGCUGAAACACUUUUCAACCACAUCGAUAUUUAUUCCUGAACUAUUCAGAAUUUACACUCCCAA